rnacentral:tRNA from 1 species
GGGCCCGUGGCAUAGCCUGGUUAUUGCGCCGCUCUGAUAAGGCGGAUGUCCGGAGUUCAAAUCUCCGCGGGCCCACCA